GGUUAAGUUAUAAAGGGCGCACGGCGGAUGCCUUGGCACUAGGAGCCGAUGAAGGACGGCACUAACACCGAUAUGCUUCGGGGAGCUGUAAGUAAGCUUUGAUCCGAAGAUUUCCGAAUGGGGGAACCCACUGUCCGUAAUGGGACAGUACAUCUACGUGAAUACAUAGCGUAUAUGUGGCAGACCCGGAGAACUGAAACAUCUAAGUAUCCGGAGGAAGAGAAAGAAAAUUCGAUUCCCUGAGUAGCGGCGAGCGAAACGGGAUUAGCCCAAACCAGGAAGCUUGCUUCCUGGGGUUGUAGGACACUCUAUACGGAGUUACAAAAGGUUGGAUUAGACGAAGCGAUCUGGAAAGAUCUGCCGCAGAGGGUAAAAGCCCCGUAGUCGAAAAUCCAUCCACUCCAGAGUGGAUCCUGAGUACGGCGGAACACGUGAAAUUCCGUCGGAAUCCGGGAGGACCAUCUCCCAAGGCUAAAUACUCCCUAGUGACCGAUAGUGAACCAGUACCGUGAGGGAAAGGUGAAAAGCACCCCGGAAGGGGAGUGAAAUAGAACCUGAAACCGUGUGCCUACAAGUUGUCAGAGCCCGUUAAUGGGUGAUGGCGUGCCUUUUGUAGAAUGAACCGGCGAGUUACGAUUCCAUGCAAGGUUAAGCAGUGAAUGCGGAGCCGCAGCGAAAGCGAGUCUGAAUAGG
rnacentral:ncRNA from 1 species